UACGAAGGGGAGCUAGCGUUGUUCGGAAUCACUGGGCGUAAAGCGCACGUAGGCGGAUUUGUAAGUCAGGGGUGAAAUCCCGGGGCUCAACCUCGGAACUGCCUUUGAUACUGCGAAUCUUGAGUCCGAUAGAGGUGGGUGGAAUUCCUAGUGUAGAGGUGAAAUUCGUAGAUAUUAGGAAGAACACCGGUGGCGAAGGCGGCCCACUGGAUCGGUACUGGACGCUGAGGUGCGAAAGCGUGGGGAGCAAACAGG
rnacentral:rRNA from 1 species